rnacentral:rRNA from 1 species
AGUGAGCGCUGGCGGUAGGCCUAACACAUGCAAGUCGAACGGCAGCACAGUAAGAGCUUGCUCUUACGGGUGGCGAGUGGCGGACGGGUGAGGAAUACAUCGGAAUCUUCUUUUUCGUGGGGGAUAACGUAGGGAAACUUACGCUAAUACCGCAUACGACCUACGGGUGAAAGCAGGGGAUCUUCGGACCUUGCGCGAUUGAAUGAGCCGAUGUCGGAUUAGCUAGUUGGCGGGGUAAAGGCCCACCAAGGCGACGAUCCGUAGCUGGUCUGAGAGGAUGAUCAGCCACACUGGAACUGAGACACGGUCCAGACUCCUACGGGAGGCAGCAGUGGGGAAUAUUGGACAAUGGGCGCAAGCCUGAUCCAGCCAUACCGCGUGGGUGAAGAAGGCCUUCGGGUUGUAAAGCCCUUUUGUUGGGAAAGAAAAGCAGCAGGUUAAUACCCCGCUGUUCUGACGGUACCCAAAGAAUAAGCACCGGCUAACUUCGUG